rnacentral:rRNA from 1 species
UACGGAGGGUGCAAGCGUUGUUCGGAAUGACUGGGCGUAAAGCGCACGUAGGCGGGUUUGUAAGUCGGAUGUGAAAUCCCCAAGCUUAACUUGGGAACUGCAUUCGAAACUGUGAAUCUUGAAUGCUUGAGAGGUUGGUGGAAUUCCUGGUGUAGGAGUGAAAUCCGUAGAUAUCAGGAGGAAUAUCGGAGGCGAAGGCGACCAACUGGUGAUGCAUUGACGCUGAGGUACGAAGGCUUGGGUAUCGAUCGGG